GAUGAACGCUGGCGGUCUGCUUAACACAUGCAAGUCGAACGGGACUCUUCGGAGUUCAGUGGCGGACGGGUGAGUAACGCGUGAGAAUCUGCCUUCAGGUUCGGGACAACCCCUGGAAACGGUGGCUAAUACCGGAUGUGCUAUACAGUAAAAGAUUUAUCGCCUGAAGAUGAGCUCGCGUCUGAUUAGCUAGUUGGUGAGGUAAAAGCUCACCAAGGCGACGAUCAGUAGCUGGUCUGAGAGGAUGACCAGCCACACUGGGACUGAGACACGGCCCAGACUCCUACGGGAGGCAGCAGUGGGGAAUUUUCCGC
rnacentral:rRNA from 1 species